ensembl:lncRNA
CUGAGAACUGUUUACAAUGCCAUCUAGAAAUCUUGUUGACUUUAGCACAGCUGGCUGUCCUGCAAACACACUCAUCCAGGAGAACUUAAGGACGGAGGACGCACUUUUGCAGCUUACUGUUGCUCGAGAACAGGGUCCAAUUGAAGAUGGAAGAAAAACUUUCAGAUGAAAAAUUAAAAUGUAUGCUCGCCCCUUGGAGGUUUUCCCUUAGGGCACCUGGAUUUGAAGACAGGCUGGUGACGGCUCUACAACUGUUUGAGCAUUUUCCUUUAGACAUAGCUGUGACUGGAGGAACGCCGGAGGCUAAUGCUCAGCUGGCUUCUGCAAUCUGUGGGAGGGGUGAGGAAAUCGAAGAGGAGGAAUGGGAAACUGAUGAUGAAGGUGAUGAGGAGGAAGAAACAGACGAGGAAGAAGAAGCAGAAGACUGGGAGGAAGAUGAAAGUGCAGAUGAGGAACAUAGUAUAAAGUCUAAGUACUUAAACACUAAUCUCCAGAGCAGCAGCAGGAGGAAACGUGUACGGAUAGCAGAGCAUGCAGAAUAUAUAGAGAGUAGCAUUCCUGAUUUUGACUCUGACUAUAAAUGUUCGUGUGUGGACUGUGCAGGGCCAUCCAACCUCAAAUUCCAUUAUUUACCAGACCGACCAGCAGUAUGACUCCACAUGCUAUGAUGUUCUAAUGGUUCUCACUACAGAUCAGUACAAUGAGGACCACAUGUGGCUCAAAAUGGAAUUGCAUGGCAGAGAUCAGCCUUUUUUUCUGGUUCAAGCUGAGCGGGACUGGGACGUGGUCGAGGAGAAGCCUACAGGGCCAUGCAUGACCUGCUCCUGGGAAUGAAUGAGAGCUCGCAAACUGGAGUUGCAAAAGAAAAGUAAAGAAGUAUGUGGAGAAACAGCCGAUUCAGAAGCAGACAGCAAGAAUACUUCAAACGCUCCCCAAGAUCCAGAGUUUGCGAAGAUGAAGGAUAUCGUGAAGGUGCUUGCUGAAGCCCUGCCUGAGCUUCGGAAGAAGGCUUUUAGUCAGUUUCUGGUGGUGAUUACAAAGGUACUUCGGAUUCCUAAAUUACUGUCCGAUGACACACAGUUUGUGGUCUCUACUGCUUUAAGGUCAAAGAAGAUAAACCAGGAUCAUCUUGAUCAGAUAACCAAGCUCUCGCAGCCGAGAGAUCUCACAGACAAUCCUUCAAAGCUUCAGGCCAUCCUUGCAGCUCUCGAUCACUUCCGGCUGGAUAUCAGUGUGCUGGGUGA